rnacentral:rRNA from 1 species
GUGGGGAAUAUUGGGCAAUGGGGGAAACCCUGACCCAGCAACGCCGCGUGAAGGAAGAAGGUUUUCGGAUCGUAAACUUCUAUCCUUGGUGAAGAUAAUGACGGUAGCCAAGAAGGAAGCCCCGGCUAACUACGUGCCAGCAGCCGCGGUAAUACGUAGGGGGCAAGCGUUGUCCGGAAUGAUUGGGCGUAAAGGGCGCGUAGGCGGCCUGGUAAGUCUGGAGUGAAAGUCCUGCUUUUAAGGUGGGAAUUGCUUUGGAUACUGUCGGGCUUGAGUGCAGGGGAGGUAAGCGGAAUUCCCGGUGUAGCGGUGAAAUGCGUAGAGAUCGGGAGGAACACCAGUGGCGAAGGCGGCUUACUGGACUGUAACUGACGCUGAGGCGCGAAAGUGUGGGGAGCAAACAGGAUUAGAUACCCUUGUAGUCC